rnacentral:tRNA from 1 species
GGGGAUAUGGCUCAGUGGUAUAGCACGUACUUAGCACGUGCAAGGCCCUGGGUUCAAUUCCCUAGCCCCA